rnacentral:rRNA from 1 species
UACAGAGGGUGCAAGCGUUAAUCGGAGUUACUGGGCGUAAAGGGCGCGUAGGCGGAUAUUUAAGUUGGAUGUGAAAUCCCUGGGCUUAACCUAGGAAUUGCAUACAAAACUGGAUAUCUGGAGUACUGUAGAGGGUAGUGGAAUUUCCGGUGUAGCGGUGAAAUGCGUAGAGAUCGGAAGGAACACCAGUGGCGAAGGCGACUACCUGGACAGAUACUGACGCUGAGGCGCGAGAGCGUGGGGAGCAAACAGG